rfam:Asian citrus Psyllid, Diaphorina citri - Florida Strain, whole genome shotgun sequence.
GUUGGCUACGGAGACAUCUGCCCGACGACACCGCUAGGCAAGAUGAUAGGGAGUGUGUGUUGCGUUUGUGGCGUACUGGUCAUUGCCCUACCUAUUCCGAUUAUUGUCAAUAAU